rnacentral:rRNA from 1 species
ACUGAACGCUGGCGGCAGGCCUAACACAUGCAAGUCGAACGGUAGCACAGAGAGCUUGCUCUCGGGUGACGAGUGGCGGACGGGUGAGUAACGUCUGGAAGCUGCCCGAUGGAGGGGGAUAACUACUGGAAACGGUAGCUAAUACCGCAUAACGUCGCAAGACCAAAGUGGGGGACCUUCGGGCCUCACACCAUCGGAUGUGCCCAGAUGGGAUUAUCUAGUAGGUGGGGUAAUGGCUCACCUAGGCGACGAUCCCUAGCUGGUCUGAGAGGAUGACCAGCCACACUGGGACUGAGACACGGUCCAGACUCCUACGGGAGGCAGCAGUGGGGAAUAUUGCACAAUGGGCGCAAGCCUGAUGCAGCCAUGCCGCGUGUAUGAAGAAGGCCUUCGGGUUGUAAAGUACUUUCAGCGGGGAGGAAGGCGGUGAAGUUAAUAACUUCACCGAUUGACGUUACCCGCAGAAGAAGCACCGGCUAACUCCGUGCCAGCCGCCGCAGUAA